rnacentral:rRNA from 1 species
UACGUAGGGGGCAAGCGUUGUCCGGAAUCAUUGGGCGUAAAGAGCGUGUAGGCGGUCCGGUAAGUCGGCUGUGAAAGUCCAGGGCUCAACCCUGGGAUGCCGGUCGAUACUGCCGGACUAGAGUUCGGAAGAGGCGAGUGGAAUUCCCGGUGUAGCGGUGAAAUGCGCAGAUAUCGGGAAGAACAUCGGUGGCGAAAGCGCUCUGCUGGACUGCAACUGACACUCAGGGACGAAAGCUAGGGGAGCGAAUGGG